rnacentral:rRNA from 1 species
GAUGAACGCUAGCGGCAGGCCUAACACAUGCAAGUCGAGGGGUAUAAAAGAGCUUGCUUUUUUAGAGACCGGCAAACGGGUGCGGAAACACGUACGCAAUCUGCCCUUAUCACGGGGAUAGCCCAGAGAAAUUUGGAUUAAUACCCGAUAGUAUUAUAAUAAGGCAAUCUUGUUGUAAUUAAAGCUAUGGCGGAUAAGGGUGAGCGUGCGCAAGAUUAGCUAGUUGGUGAGGUAACGGCUCACCAAGGCGACGAUCUUUAGCUGAUGUGAGAGCAUGAUCAGCCACACGGGCACUGAGACACGGGCCCGA